CCUACGGGCGGCAGCAGUGGGGAAUAUUGCGCAAUGGGCGAAAGCCUGACGCAGCGACGCCGCGUGAGGGAUGAAGGUCUUCGGAUCGUAAACCUCUGUCAGCAGGGAAGAACGGUCACUGUGCUAAUCAGCAGUGAAUUGACGGUACCUGCAAAGGAAGCACCGGCUAACUCCGUGCCAGCAGCCGCGGUAAUACGGAGGGUGCGAGCGUUAAUCGGAAUUACUGGGCGUAAAGCGCUCGUAGGCGGUAUGUCAAGUCAAGUGUGAAAUCCCCGCGCUCAACGCGGGAACUGCCUUUGAAACUGGCAAACUUGAGUGUGUGAGAGGAUAGUGGAAUUCCAGGUGUAGGAGUGAAAUCCGUAGAUAUAUGGAGGAACACCAGUGGCGAAGGCGACUAUCUGGUACAUAACUGACGCUGAUGAGCGAAAGCGUGGGUAGCAAACAGGAUUAGAUACCCGGGUAGUC
rnacentral:rRNA from 1 species